rnacentral:rRNA from 1 species
UACAGGGGGUGCAAGCGUUGUCCGGAAUGAUUGGGCGUAAAGCAUCUGUAGGUGGUUUCUAAAGUCAACUGUUAAAUCCCAGAGCUCAACUUUGGACAAGCAGUUGAGUACUUAGGGACUUGAGUAUGGUAGGGGUAGAGGGAAUUCCUAGUGGAGCGGUGAAAUGCACAGAGAUUAGGAAGAACACCAGUGGCGAAAGCGCUCUACUGGGCCAUGACUGACACUGAGAGAUGAAAGUUAGGGGAGCGAACAGG